AUAGCAAGCACACUCGGGCCGAUUCUGGCUGAAAUGCGGCACUGUCGGCUCAGUCACGACGUCGGUGAGAAGAUAAUGGGCCAGAGCCGCGCCGACUCUACAAAACACUUCUGGUUGACAGACGGCUUUUUCUCUCUGGGCCGAUCUCGGCUGAAAGCUGUUGUACGCGCGGCAGGUCCGCACUCGGUGUAGUUGUGUGUCUCUACCUUCGGCCCGAGCUGGUUUUGUCUCCGGCGGCCGCUGCUAGAAUGAAGAUCCGCCUGAGAGAGAGAUUUGGCGGUUAAUCCUGAGGAGAUUUCGGCGGGCACAGGUCUCAAGAGGAAUACUUCAGCUGCAAAAAGGUAAAUUAAGUUAUUUAAUGAUCGAUCUAGUGUUGUUUGAUGUUUAAAUGCCAGGAGGAGUAUAGUUUUUAGAUGGUUUCUGCUAGGUUUGCGAUGAUAAUAGCGUCAGAAAAAUCAUUCGGUCCGGAUAUAUUGAGUGUUGAUGAGUAACGUUAGGCCUAACUGUCAGGCGCGGUCUCUUUAGGAAAACAAUAUGUAAUUUUUUUAAUAUGAAAAACCGAUGAGCUGUAUCCAGUGCACGAUAAUGUAAGGUAAUUAAAUUUUAAUGAGUUAAAUUCCAUUUUGUUUGCUAGAAUUCAUUCGAUUCAUCUUUUUCAACGAGUGAUUGCUAUUGAAUCAAAGGAGUCGGACCGCGCUGCUGGAGCCAUAAACAUCUAUACGAGUGACUCUGUCUGAUUCGAUUCACUGAACCAUUCAAAUGAGUCAUUUGUUUGUAAGUCAAACUGAGCACGCUAUAGUAGCAUUACACCUGCUAAGAUAAUUCAAUAUGUGCAAUCUGAAUUUAAUAAUAAUAUUUAUUUUGUGGUAACACUGCCGUGUGGGCAGCUCUGACAGAGAAAAACACUAUAGAUACGUAAGAGAAAGCCGUAAAAUGUAAGUGCAUCAUCUUUUGUUCUUGAAUGGAGGCCUAAUCUGUCUGCUGCACUUCAGCAGGUUCAGUUUUUAGAGUGAAUGAAAACUUCUGAAGCAUAGAUAUGCCGUGUGAUGUGAUUAAAAUCAUACUUAUUUUACUGUGGUGGGGAUUAUUAUGAGCAAACAAAUUUAAAAGUUUAAUCUGAACACUAUAUAUAUGUAAUCUGACAUUUAUUUAUUUUAUUUUUUUACAGAAAUUCUGAGCUGCUGCAUGAACAUUCAUCAAACAUAUAAGGCUGCAAUUUGGAAAAAAACUUUCAAGCUAAUGCUGCUGAAAUGGAGGUCAAGGGGACUAUGAAGAGGUGGCUUCCAGCUGAUCAAAAGUUACAAUAAUCAGCUGAUCCAGUCGGUAUCCAGACCAGACGGUGGACCUGCACCAGGAGUGACCACAACACAUCCCUGACUGUCAGCGGAGACCAUGUCAGCUAGAUGACAGAUCCCUGUGAAGACCUCACUGAUGGCCCCAGCACAGAUCCUCAGCAAAGACUACGAGAACCAGACAAGCCCUCUGCACAGACCCUUUUACCAGCUUCACCUGCUGGCGUGAUGUUACUUCAUGCAGAAGAAGUUGGAUGAAAUAUUCUGAAUGAUAUCAAUCCACAAUCUGACUUGUGAUGCAGCCUGGAAUAAUCACACCACGUUCAUUCGUUUGGCCAGACGAGACUGUUUCCUGACUGAGCCGGGUCUUGUUUGGGUUUGGGUUCCUUGUCACUGUUGCCUUUUGUCUUGCUUGGUUGAAGACACCUAAUAUUCAGCAAUAUUAUUGACUUGACUGCACUGACACCAUUUGAUAAGAACUGAACUGAAUUAUGACACACAAUGUUUUAUAUAUGAAGUUUAUUUGCAAAAACGGA